UUCUAUUAGAAUUUAUUAAUAGUAAAAACUGCUCAAUGAAAAUAAAUUGCCGCAAUACGUGCUAAGGUAGUAAAAUAAUUUGUCUUUUAAUUAAAGACCAAACAAAAGAUUAAACAUUUAAACUUUUUUCAAAAUUUUUUAAUAAAAUUUUUUUAAAUGUUAAAAAACAUUUAUUUAAAACAGAGACGACAAGACCCUAUCGAACUUUACUUUAGUUUAACUGGGGAAGUAAAUAAAUUAAUAUUUUUAAUAUAUUUUUAUAAAAUUAUUCUAAUACUAUUAAAUAAUCAAGUUACCGUAGGAUAACAGCGUAAUAGAAUUUUUUAGCUCUUAUUAAAAAUUCUGAUUGCGACCUCGAUGUUCAUUUAAUUAUUCUUAUUAACGCAAUAGUUUACUAAGAAAG
rnacentral:rRNA from 1 species